rnacentral:ncRNA from 2 species
CAUUCAUUCCCGCAAAGCAGUGAGAUAAGAUAACAGAGCAAAAUUGAUGCCGCCACCCGAGGGGAAAGUUCGGUGCGUGAACUGCUUCACCAAUCCGACACUGUGCCGCAACUGUGAUGAAUCUCUGCCACACAACGGAUAUGAGGCUCUCAGUCAGAACACCCGCUGGUGGCUUUGUAUCUUG